rnacentral:misc_RNA from 1 species
UUUCCGUAGGUGAACCUGCGGAAGGAUCAUUAUUGAAACUUCAUCCGGGGCGCCGCGGCCCUCGGCCCCGGUGGAAACGCCGUGCUGCGGUGGCCGCGCGUGCACUCGUCCAAACCAAACCCCUGUGAACCUUACGGGAUGGCCCGGGUUAGCGCCCGGUGCCGUUCCGCUUUAUACAAACACUUAUCAAAGAAUGAACUGAAGGCGGUCUGACCGCUGGAUAACAAAAUGAAACAACUUUCAACAACGGAUCUCUUGGCUCUC